rnacentral:tRNA from 1 species
UGAGAUGUUGCUCAGUGGUAGAGAGCUUGCCUUGUGUGUAUAAGGCCCUGGGUUUGAUCCCCAGCACAUCAC